rnacentral:rRNA from 1 species
ACUCAAAGGAAUAGACGGGGGCCCGCACAAGCGGUGGAGCAUGUGGUUUAAUUCGACGCAACGCGAAGAACCUUACCUGGGCUCGAACGGCUUCUGAUCGCCGGUGGAAACACUGGUUUCCCCGCAAGGGGCAGGAGUCGAGGUGCUGCAUGGCUGUCGUCAGCUCGUGUCGUGAGAUGUUGGGUUAAGUCCCGCAACGAGCGCAACCCUUGUCCUGUGUUGCUAACCCGAAAGGGUGCACUCUCAGGAGACCGCCAGCGAUAAGUUGGAGGAAGGUGGGGAUGACGUCAAGUCAUCAUGGCCUUUAUGUCCAGGGCUACACACGUGCUACAAUGGACGGUACAAAGCGCAGCCAACCCGCGAGGGGGAGCUAAUCGCAAAAAACCGUUCUCAGUUCGGAUUGCAGGCUGCAACUCGCCUGCAUGAAGCUGGAAUCGCUAGUAAUGGCAUAUCAGAACGAUGCCGUGAAUACGUUCCCGGGCCUUGUACACACCGCCCGU